UGGAAAAACACACUAGCACACUCCUGGGC
rnacentral:piRNA from 1 species